GUUGGCGGAGUAAAGCCCACCAAGGCGACGAUCGGUAGCUGGUCUGAGAGGACGAUCAGCCACACUGGGACUGAGACACGGCCCAGACUCCUACGGGAGGCAGCAGUGGGGAAUAUUGCACAAUGGGCGAAAGCCUGAUGCAGCGACGCCGCGUGAGGGAUGACGGCCUUCGGUUGUAACCUCUGUUGUUAAGGAAGAAUACUUGAGGUAGUAACAGUCGUGGAGGCAAGGCACACAGGGAGUAGG
rnacentral:rRNA from 1 species